AACGUAGGAGACAAACGUUAUCCGGAGUUACUGGGCGUAAAGGGCGUGCAGGCGGCUUGUUAAGUUUGGCGUGAAAGCUCCUGGCUAAACCGGGAGAGGUCGUCGGAGACUGGCAGGCUCGAGGGUGAUAGAGGCGGGUGGAAUUCCGGGUGUAGUGGUGAAAUGCGUAGAGAUCGGGAGGAACACCCGUGGCGAAGGCGGCCAUCUGGACCAGUACUGACGCUGAGGCACGAAAGCGUGGGGAGCAAACAGG
rnacentral:rRNA from 1 species